UCAGCUUGGCAACGCUGCAUUGUUGUCAUCUAAGUUUUUAGGUUAGGUUACAUGUAAACAAACGUUUUGUCUCAGGUUUUCACACACACACUGAGAACUCCAAUCUUGAAGUUUUAAUCUUAUUUCAAUCUCAAACUAAUAUAUAAUGUUUACUUAUCGUGCCUGAACUUGCCCGUGUUCUUUUAGGUUUGAACGGUUGAGUUGAAUUAAUGGAGAACAGCGGUUAUUUAAACUUGUAACACACCGUAUUCAUUACUUACUUACUAUCGUAAGUACCAGCACCAGCUACUUACGAAGUUCUAGGUUCACUAUCCUUACAUCGUUUUUUAUCUGUAAGGAAAGGAUCUUAAAGUUGUUUUCAAAAGUUUACUCAUGAGGCGUUGUGACUGAUUUAACAGGUUAGCGUCAUGAUCACCCUGUAGCCAACGUUUCGAUUACAACUGAAAAACAUGAUUUCUGAGACCGGCAAUUCUAGAGGAGUCAUCCUGACAUCUGCUCUUAUUGUUCCAAGCUUUCAAAUCAUUUGAGACUGGUGCCUUAGGCCUUGAAGCUAACUAUCAGGAUAUUGCUACCCCAUGACAAAGGCAAUCGGAAUUAUGACCCCACUACUGGACAUUGAAAGACUGUGCACAAAAGAAGAGGGGUCAUCCACUUCCCCUAAAUCUGUUAUUAAUUAUGAGUCUGGACUACAUCAGUUCUCUCAGUAAUCGCCUUUUCGUGAUUUUAAAAAAAAUCCCUGGGACAGUCCAGCCUCUCUCCCCCCCCUCCCCGCCCCCCAUAGUGGCAACUUCUCAAGAAAAACCCUGCAUUUUUCCUGCCCUGACUCAGGUUGACAGAUGGUGA
rnacentral:lncRNA from 1 species